GCUCAGUAGCUGAGUGGAUAACGUGUUGGCGUUUGAAGACAGCGAUACUGGGUUCGAGUCCCAGAGUGAAC
rnacentral:tRNA from 1 species